rnacentral:rRNA from 1 species
UGGGGAAUAUUGCGCAAUGGCCGCAAGGCUGACGCAGCGACGCCGCGUGUGGGAUGACGGUCUUCGGAUUGUAAACCACUGUCAGGGGGAACGAAUACCGGGCGACGAAUAGCCGACCCGGGGUGACGGUACCUCCAAAGGAAGCACCGGCUAACUCCGUGCCAGCAGCCGCGGUAAUACGGAGGGUGCGAGCGUUGUCCGGAAUCACUGGGCGUAAAGGGUGCGUAGGCGGUUCAGUAAGUUGCUGGUGAAAUCCCGGGGCUCAACUCCGGGGCUGCCGGCACGACUGCUGGACUUGAGCACGGUAGGGGCAGAUGGAAUUCCCGGUGUAGCGGUGGAAUGCGUAGAUAUCGGGAAGAAUACCAGUGGCGAAGGCGUUCUGCUGGGCCGUUGCUGACGCUGAGGCACGACAGCGUGGGGAGCAAACAGGAUUAGAUACCCCCGUAGUCC